UGAUCUUUCUACCAUUCCUCCAGCCGCCUCAUGUGGACACAGUCCUUCAUUUUGUUAAUUUUGUGAAAAGAAGGAUCGUGUCCAUAGAGGCUACUGGUGAAGAAUUUUGCAUCCAUGA
rnacentral:precursor_RNA from 15 species